GGGGUUGUGACGCAGUGGUAGCGUGUUCCCUUCGCACAGUCUUAGAUUGUCUGGGAAAAGCCGAGAGUUCGAACCUUUCCUGCUCCA